GAAGUCCUGAUGUGUACGUUGUACACCUAGUUUUGACCGAACAUUUAUUUAUUUGGGAGUCCGGUGUUUUCAAAUGAAGUAAAUGCCUCAUCUUUAUUCGGAGACCCUGAGGACUUACAACCGUUUGAAACAGGACACCCACCUGCUUGAGUGCGGGUUCAAAACGAAGGAAACGGCAACGGCACAAUCGGGACUUCG
rnacentral:other from 1 species